AUACAGUAAUAUGGACUAGAUAACUGUACCGAGCUGAACUUGUAACUGUAUUUUGUGUCCCCAGGUGUCUGCCUCCACACCUCCCUGCUGUCACCACUGGUCUAAGAAGUCCAUAAUGGUUAGGUAAGGGCACUUUAACGGUUAGGUUAGGGCAUUUUAACUGUUAGGUAAGGGCACUUUCAGUUUCAGGGCUUGGGCUGAAUAACUUUCUGUAGUUGUUGUGGCCUCUACUAGACUUCAGAAGUAAAAGGAGUUGCUCAAUGUUGUCAUUUGCACAAAUCAAAUGGUACAGCUGGUCAAAUAUGGUAAUUGUAGCACAAGAGUAGCAUUUAAAAGUAGCUGCAUCACCUCCUGUUUGUAGUGGUUGUUACCAUGUGAUCCCAGUGUGAUGUUAUUGCCGUUGUGAUGUCUUGUUUUUAAUCUGAUGAAUGUUGUGUCAACAGUGUGGGAGGCGCAGCUCCAGUACUUGCUUUCUUGAACCUGUGUGAUGCACAAGAUGUUGAUCCAACCGCACAGUGAGCUCUGCAGGGUGGUCAGGACGGCUGUAGACGUGGAGGGCGGGCGGGGAGCCAGGCUCACCAGUGACGUCCUGGGCGAGGCGUGGGGCGCCAGGAGGGACCGAGGCUGACCACCCAGCUGCUCUGAAACGCCCAAGGCCAGGCAAUAUUUUAGUUUUUUGUUUUUUCUUAAUAGUAGUAGUUCUGAUUUUCAUUGUGACAUUUUGCCAAAGCUGUGAUUUGAGAUAAUAUCUUGGGUCAUCCGAGUAGUUGGCUGUUUUUGCCCCUAUUGCUGCUCAUGCUACUAUAGUUUAUACAUUACUCAAUAAGUUUAAAUGUAAACUUAAGAGUUUGAUAUUUGUUACCGCUUUACAAGUGCAAGGGUGUUUGUUACCAGAUGUUAGACGAGCUACCACAGUUGUUACUAGACAUGGAGGUGAAACCACCUGUUUGUCACCAGACAUGGAGGUGAAACCACCUCUUUGUUACCAGACAUUGAGGUGGAACCACCUGUUUGUUACCAGACUUGGAGGUGAAACCACCUGUUUGUCACCAGACAUGGAGGUGAAACCACCUGUUUGUUACCAGACAUGGAGGUGAAACCACCUGUUUGUUACCAGACAUGGAGGUGAAACCACCUGUUUGUCACCAGACAUGGAGGUGAAACCACCUGUUUGUCACCAGACAUGGAGGUGAAACCACCUGUUUGUUACCAGACAUGGAGGUGAAACCACCUGUUUGUCACCAGACAUGGAGGUGAAACCACCUGUUUGUUGUCCAGAAUAGGACCCGUGGUGGAGGGCAGCUAGUGGGGAGCAGUGCUGGAGGACCUGCUGGGAAGGACAUCCCUCGUUGGGCUAAAGACACCCGUCUCUGAGAUGUGAAGGCUGCAGAGGACCCACCAGGAUCCCCUUGGAGGACAACAAUUGGACUACGUGAGGUCUUUGGAAGCACUACAGUUCAGAAUGCCUUCCAAAGAAUGAAGCCCACCCCCCAUGGCUCAGCUAGUGGCGUUCACCGGACCAGGAACCCCGAGACCUGAAGGAGGAGCCGUGCAUCUGGAGCCAUGCA